GACGAACGCUGGCGGCGUACUUAACACAUGCAAGUCGAACGGAAAGGCCCUGCUUUUGUGGGGUGCUCGAGUGGCGAACGGGUGAGUAACACGUGAGUAACCUGCCCUUGACUUUGGGAUAACUUCAGGAAACUGGGGCUAAUACCGGAUAGGAGCUCCUGCUGCAUGGUGGGGGUUGGAAAGUUUCGGCGGUUGGGGAUGGACUCGCGGCUUAUCAGCUUGUUGGUGGGGUAGUGGCUUACCAAGGCUUUGACGGGUAGCCGGCCUGAGAGGGUGACCGGCCACAUUGGGACUGAGAUACGGCCCAGACUCCUACGGGAGGCAGCAGUGGGGAAUAUUGCACAAUGGGCGGAAGCCUGAUGCAGCAACGCCGCGUGCGGGAUGACGGCCUUCGGGUUGUAAACCGCUUUCGCCUGUGACGAAGCGUGAGUGACGGUAAUGGGUAAAGAAGCACCGGCUAACUACG
rnacentral:rRNA from 1 species